AUUGAACGCUGGCGGCAUGCCUUACACAUGCAAGUCGAACGGCAGCACGGGAGCAAUCCUGGUGGCGAGUGGCGAACGGGUGAGUAAUAUAUCGGAACGUGCCCAGUCGUGGGGAUAACGUAGCGAAAGCUACGCUAAUACCGCAUACGAUCUAUGGAUGAAAGCGGGGGAUCGCAAGACCUCGCGCGAUUGGAGCGGCCGAUAUCAGACUAGGUAGUUGGUGAGGUAAAGGCUCACCAAGCCGACGAUCUGUAGCUGGUCUGAGAGGACGACCAGCCACACUGGGACUGAGACACGGCCCAGACUCCUACGGGAGGCAGCAGUGGGGAAUUUUUGGUACAAUAGGGCGGCAAGACCUGAUCCAGCAAUGCCGCGUGCAGGAUGAAGGCC
rnacentral:rRNA from 1 species